ACUCCGUGAGCGUUGAAGGCCGCAGAGACCAGUGGGAAGCGACUGUUUACUAAAAACACAGGUCCGUGCGAAGUCGCAAGACGAUGUAUACGGACUGACGCCUGCCCGGUGCUGGAAGGUUAAGAGGAAGGGUUAGCCUUUGGGCGAAGCUCUGAAUUUAAGCCCCAGUAAACGGCGGUGGUAACUAUAACCAUCCUAAGGUAGCGAAAUUCCUUGUCGGGUAAGUUCCGACCUGCACGAAUGGCGUAACGACUUCCCAGCUGUCUCAACCGCGAACUCGGCGAAAUUGCACUACGAGUAAAGAUGCUCGUUACGCGCAGCAGGACGGAAAGACCCCGUGACCUUUACUACAGUUUGGUAUUGGUGUUCGGAGUGGCUUGUGUAGGAUAGGUGGGAGACUGUGAAGCGGGCACGCUAGUGUUCGUGGAGUCAUUGUUGAAAUACCACUCUGGUCACUUUGGAUGUCUAACGUAGGACCCUGAUCGGGUUCAUGGACAGUGCCUGAUGGGUAGUUUAACUGGGGCGGUUGCCUCCCAAAGAGUAACGGAGGCGCCCAAAGGUUCCCUCAACCUGGUUGGCAAUCAGGUGGCGAGUGUAAGUGCACAAGGGAGCUUGACUGUGAGACUGACAGGUCGAGCAGGGACGAAAGUCGGGACUAGUGAUCCGGCAGUGGCUUGUGGAAGCGCUGUCGCUCAACGGAUAAAAGGUACCUCGGGGAUAACAGGCUGAUCUUGCCCAAGAGUCCAUAUCGACGGCAUGGUUUGGCACCUCGAUGUCGGCUCGUCGCAUCCUGGGGCUGGAGUAGGUCCCAAGGGUUGGGCUGUUCGCCCAUUAAAGCGGUACGCGAGCUGGGUUUAGAACGUCGUGAGACAGUUCGGUCCCUAUCCGCUGCGCGCGUUGGAAAUUUGAGAAGAUCUAUCCCUAGUACGAGAGGACCGGGAUGGACGAACCUCUGGUGUGUCAGUUGUUCUGCCAAGGGCACCGCUGAUUAGCUACGUUCGGACCGGAUAACCGCUGAAAGCAUCUAAGCGGGAAGCCGUCUUCGAGAUGAGAUUUCCAUGCACCUUGAGUGUGAGAGGCUCCCAGCAGACUACUGGGUUGAUAGGCCGGAUGUGGAAGCGGGGACUAACGACCCGUGGAGCUGACCGGUACUAAUAAGCCGAAGACUUGAUAAC
rnacentral:rRNA from 1 species